rnacentral:tRNA from 1 species
GUAGCUCAGUUGGUAGAGCGCCAGUAAAAUAAGCACAGUAAUCAAUAUUACCAAUAUGCUUCUAUUAGGAAUAUCGGUGAUGGAUGUAGAGUUACUUCACAGGUUCGAUUCCUGUAUCGUCGGCU